GCUUUGCCCACUCUCCGACACUCUCUCUUAUUCCUGAAUCCAAAAUCGUCCUUAACUUUCUUUUCUUUAGAUUUUGCUCCAAAAUGUCUCCUUAUCUCCAUUGUUGUCCCACUACAUAGAGUACCUGAAAAGACACUAAGAAGACUCGAUAAAUAACAUAAAAACUCAAAAUCGUAUACCUAAAACAUAGAUAAAA
rnacentral:sRNA from 1 species